GAUGAACGCUGGCGGCGUGCUUAACACAUGCAAGUCGAACGGAAAGGCUCCUGCUUGCAGGGGUACUCGAGUGGCGAACGGGUGAGUAACACGUGGGUGAUCUGCCCUGCACUUCGGGAUAAGCCUGGGAAACUGGGUCUAAUACCGGAUAGGACGAUGGUUUGGAUGCCAUUGUGGACAGUUUUUCGGUGUGGGAUGAGCUCGCGGCCUAUCAGCUUGUUGGUGGGGUAAUGGCCUACCAAGGCGUCGACGGGUAGCCGGCCUGAGAGGGUGUACGGCCACAUUGGGACUGAGAUACGGCCCAGACUCCUACGGGAGGCAGCAGUGGGGAAUAUUGCACAAUGGGCGCAAGCCUGAUGCAGCGACGCCGCGUGGGGGAUGAAGGCCUUCGGGUUGUAAACUCCUUUCGCUAGGGACGAAGCGCAAGUGACGGUACCUGGAGAAGAAGCACCGGCUAACUACGUG
rnacentral:rRNA from 1 species